UACGUAGGUCCCGAGCGUUGUCCGGAUUUAUUGGGCGUAAAGCGAGCGCAGGUGGUUUAUUAAGUCUGGUGUAAAAGGCAGUGGCUCAACCAUUGUAUGCAUUGGAAACUGGUAGACUUGAGUACAGUAGAGGUGGGCGGAAUUCGUGGUGUAGCGGUGAAAUGCUUAGAUAUCACGAAGAACUCCGAUUGCGAAGGCAGCUCACUGGACUGCAACUGACACUGAGGCUCGAAAGUGUGGGUAUCAAACAGG
rnacentral:rRNA from 1 species